rnacentral:rRNA from 1 species
GACGAACGCUGGCGGCGUGCUUAACACAUGCAAGUCGAACGGAAAGGCCCUGCUUUUGUGGGGUGCUCGAGUGGCGAACGGGUGAGUAACACGUGAGUAACCUGCCCUUGACUUUGGGAUAACUUCAGGAAACUGGGGCUAAUACCGGAUAGGAGCUCCUGCUGCAUGGUGGGGGUUGGAAAGUUUCGGCGGUUGGGGAUGGACUCGCGGCUUAUCAGCUUGUUGGUGGGGUAGUGGCUUACCAAGGCUUUGACGGGUAGCCGGCCUGUGAGGGUGACCGGCCACAUUGGGACUGAGAUACGGCACAGACUCCUACGGGAGGCAGCAGUGGGGAAUAUUGCACAAUGGGCGGAAGCCUGAUGCAGCAACGCCGCGUGCGGGAUGACGGCCUUCGGGUUGUAAACCGCUUUCGCCUGUGACGAAGCGUGAGUGACGGUAAUGGGUAAAGAAGCACCGGCUAACUACGUG